rnacentral:lncRNA from 1 species
CAGAGAGUGGAUGUUUCAGAAUGGUGCGGACAGGUUGAGCAGCAAUAGAUGUUUUUUAAGUCCUAGGUGAGCACUCCAGGUUCUGUGAAUUUUCCCUUCAUAGUACUGCAGUAUUUUCAUACUUCAAGGAAAUAGAAAUAAUAUGGUUUCUCUCUCCCGGUUUGUUACUACCGAGAAUGGAACUCGAGAAGAGGUACUUUUGGUGUUGUCCUAUUACCUCCCGUAUCUAAUAGAUGACACAAAGUUAUCAGUUUAGUUGGCAAGAGCAAAAGUCCACAUCAAUUGUGAGGAUAUGAUGAUUGGCAUACUUACCCCCUGAUGAUGCCUCACUUCUUCAGAAUUUGAGGCUGUUCUUGAUAUGUCAGGUAGGUCCAGCUAUCGAGUCAAUAACUAUAUUUGGUAGUGUGUGAUGAUACAUUAAUAAUCACACUUGAAUAUGUUACCUAAACCUGUUUUGCUUUUGUAUUUCUUCCAUGUUCAUCCUUCCUUUGCCUCCUCAAAUUCUUCUUUGGCCUUAGUCCUUAUAUUUCUGUCCUCUGCAGGUUUUGUGCUGUUUGCCUCUCGGGUAGGUCCCUGCAUGAAUCUUACCUUCGGCAGUGAGCUGAGAAAAUUAGCCCCACCUUUUUUUGCUGCCCUACUAUUCGAUGAAAUGCUUGUGCCCUGAUGGAUUCCGUUCUUUUUUUGUUGGUGUUCCUUCUCAUCCUGCCUGCUUUGCAAGUCUUUGUUUCACCUAUUGUCUCGGUUCAAUUGAUUGUCCAUGCCUUGGCACGUUCUGUGUAUGAUGUAAAUUCGGAACAAUGGAUUUGGUUUUCCGAACCAUAAAACUUAUGUAGCUUGAAUUAGCAGAUUGCACCAUGAAAAGACAUACUUUCCUUUAAAAAAUAAUGUGUAUCAGUACCUCUUUAGACCCUGCUGCUUGCGAUCUGAACCAGUAUAUACUUUUCUACAGUUUAGAUGUUAUAUCAGUUUGCAGAUGAAUUCGUGGCUAAUACCAGCAUUGUGAAUUUUUCAUGUUUGUCUUCCUUUAAACCACCAUAAAACUUAUCUAGCUUGAAUUAGCAGAUUGCACCAUGAAAAGACAUAUUGUCCUUUAAAAAUAAUGUGUAUUAGUACCUCUUUAGACCCUGCUGCUUGCGAUCUGAACCAGUAUAUACUUUUCUACAGUUUAGAUGUUAUAUCAGUUUGCAGAUGAAUUCGUGGCUAAUACCAGCAUUGUGAAUUUUUCAUGUUUGUCUUCCUUUAAACCUGAUGCAUGCAUGUGCAUGAUGCUCGUUGAUGACUAUUCCAUUUGUUUUACUGACCAAUUUUUGAGAGGGAGGGUGGAGGGAGUUGGCUCUUGUGUUUGUUGAUUGCUUUGCAGAUUUAUUGGUGUUUGGUUCAGAUAGAACAGCUCCAUUUGCAUUAGCAACUGUUUGUGGAGUCCCUCGCUGCUACAGGUAUGUUUGCUCUAUAGAAUCUAUAAUAUGCAUUAUGUGCUACUGCUUUUUUUAAUUAAACCAUGAAAAAUUUAUGAUAUAGAAGAGAUUAUAAGGGGCGUCUCACGAGCACAUGAUAGCGAGAGAAUUACUCUCUGACAAUGCCUUAAUUACAGAAUGGGGUGAAGAAUGCAAGGAAGUUGCCCAUUGUCUCUCGUCACCCGACCAAGGAUAGGUGAGCGGCCAUGGAUUUUUUUUCACUCCUCCGCUCAGUGCUUGCCUCAAUCAUGUUAAUCCAUAGCGAUUUACUUUGUUCGUUCCAGGUUUGACUGACAGAGGAAGUCAAUUGAGGAGUAUGUUGACACCAGAGUCCAAGACCAUGGGUGAAGCAUUUUAAUCAAUCUGUUGUUUUGGUAAGUUUCUUGCGUUCUUAGGAUUUAAAAUAACUGCAAGGAUUGUAGAGUUCUAAUGGUUGUGUUGGGUGUUUGCGGUGGCGAGGCUGAGCAGAUCAAACUGUACGCAUGGACCGUGACUAAUGGUGUGCCAGUGUGGUGGUGCCUGCCACACACUCACACAGGUUCUUGGUACUCUCUGUAACCUGUAGAUGAUGGGCGGCGAAUCCGGCAACCACAGAUCCAUUCUCCUGCAUAAUUUUCGUUUUUUCAUUUGAUUUGGUACAAGGCCUACUCAGAAUGGGUUCCCUGAUCUCAAAAUUGUCAGUUUUCUUGCCUUUAGUUUAUAGGUACCUUAACAAAUACAUGUAUUACCAUAUUGGCAGUCAGCACCAUGCGUCAUUCAUUCUUCAUGAUCUCAUAUUUGAGGUUAGCAGUUCGAAGUAAUGUAAGAGCUUGCAUGUUUAUAGUUCUAACUAACUUUUAGUUUAGCGUAGGAUAAGUCUUCCAUGAAUUCUUAGUUAGUUGUUUAUUUUUGCUGGCUGUGCAUGACACUGCAAUUUUUUCAUAAUUUCUUUAAAAGUUAACUAUUUUCUUAUCUACAAUUAACUGGUUGUUCCUCCUAGCCGUUAGCAAGUCUGUCGUCCCUGACCACCCUGUCAGCCAUCUAUACAACUGUGGUUCAUGCCUACGUGCUAUCCGCUCCUAAAUUCUCACACCAUGUCAGGUGUUUAGAAGUGAUGAUCAUUGUGGUCUUUAGUUGUCAUGGCUGUAAUCCUAGCGCAUGGGCUUUUGCGGGCUGGUCCAACCGGAGUUGGUUGAUGGCAGGGGCUCCGCUCCAGCUACCGUAUGGCUGAAGAAGGGAUGCAAAUGGCAAGAAUUUUGAGAUGCAUAAACUCCCAUCUUUGAAUCAGAAACAGAAAAUUGUUAGUUUUCUCUUUUCUUAGUUAUGCUACCCUGCUCCACGUAGGUUUUACAGUGAAAAGCUGAAAAAGUUGUGACGGCGAUGAAAGGACUGAAAGAUUUGCUCGAAGCAAAGACAUCUAGCCGAGAUACAUAUGGCAAGAAUCUUCAGAGAUUGACUUCUUUUCAGCUGCUAUUGAGAUAUAUACUUGCUCAUAGGUCACAACUCAAGUUACUAACUUACCUGCACAUACAGUAGUGAUAAGUCGACAUAAUUUUUCUGAGAACCUAUUUUUUUAAUAUGACAGCAUUCUACCUGCCCUGUGUUCUCUUUUAUGAUAUUUUUUGCUCUUCAUGCAUUUUGUAGCAACGAAGAGGAGGGAUCUUAUGUAUAAUAUGCGACAUCCAUGGUGCUGAAGGUGUGCUAUUAAGUCUCAGUUACUCCUGCAAAAUAGCAUCUUAAUAAACAAAGGAUAUGCACCGCCAAGCAGUUUGUUGUGUAUUUUUUUCCCUUCCAACCUUAUUGAUAUGCCUGUUGCUCAAGGUGUUUUUACUUGUUUACCUGAUUAACAAAUGAAUAUAAAUUUAAAACACAGGUUAAUAAAUUUAGCGCAG